rnacentral:lncRNA from 1 species
UUUAUAUAUUUAUAUAUAUUUAUAUAUGAUUAGAUAACAGUAGAAGAUUAAGAAAACAUCAAUAAAUUAUUUUCUGAUUUGUUUACUUACAAUGAUAAAAGUGACAUUAUCAGGGAUGACUGCUUAGUUAAGCGUUUGAAAAGUAAAGUUAGAUUUCUAUUUAUAAAUUUCAAGACAUGAUUGAAUAUGAACAAUCAAAUCGUGGAAAUACUAAGAAAAUGUGGGUGAAUAUAUAACAUUGGAGUGAGAGAACACUUUUAUGGCAGAAUCUUUAAAGAUUGCUGAGUAUAUAAUGUUUUGACAUAAGUAAUUUAAAGGCAAAUAAUUAGAGCACAAAAGAUAGAAAAGGUAAUAAAUGAAGUCUUAAAUUCAUUCCAGUAAAAAAUAAUUUGUAUCCAGUAAAAAAAAAAAAAAAGCACUCCAAUAGGAAAUGGGUAAUAAAGAUGAAAAAAGGUAGUAUCCAGUAGUUAAAACUACCAUAUUCUUAAGAUGAUAUUUAGUGUUGGUGAAACUGUAGGGGAAUGUAAAACAGAAUAUAGCCUUUCCAGCAAGUAUCAGAUUUUCAAAAUGUGCACAGAUCAUUCACUGUCAUCCUCUUAUUCCUAGAAUACAAAUCAGACUAAUGAACAUGGCUUACAAAAUCCUGAAAGGUUGUGCUCUCGCCUCCUGUCAGUUUGAGCUCCUCCUUAAUUCCUGGUUUAGCUAGGCUGCUCUUCCAAUUCCUGCACCUUCCAGCCCCGGACUUUUUAAAUUGCUGUUCUUUUUGCUGCAAACACACACAGUUUCUUCCUUCUUUGCCUCACUAGCACUAAUGACUCAUCAGAUCUCAGCAUAAUUGCCAAUUCUUUGGGAGGCUUUUCCCUGGAAGCACAGUUUAUUACUUUGCCUUUAACACUGUUGCAGUUUACAUUUAUUUCCUUGUUUCUCUCACCAUAUAGAAGGGAUGAAGUUGGGGAGAACCUGGUAUUUAGUUCAGUCCUGGAUGAGUGCCAGCAGAAGUUUGAAAGGAUGUCAUGCAUGUGUGAGAUUUAGCUUUCCAGAUAUUCAUUGCAUUGUUGGUUACUAGGAAAAAAAUCAGAAUUAGCAGAUGUUCAGCAGAGUGAGCUAUGGCCACAUUUGAACACUGUUUGGGUCCAUGAUUAGGGAUGGCUUAUUUCAAGACUGAUGUAAUUAUUGCAUCCAGAAGAAAGGUCUGGAUUUUAACCUGGGAGCUAAAUAGAUAAACUAUCAAAGCUGGCAGAAAUGCCCCAUGGGUCAGAGCCUAAAGCCAGGUACAGGGUGGGGAGAGGAUGCAGAGUUAAUUGUGAGACUGAUCAGUUUCAUUUCUGUUGGAAGUUGGAGAGAAGAUAAUUGGAGCUGUAGAUCUCACUGGGGGUGGGCAGCAUUGUGGGGACACCCCUCUGGAGGAAAUGAGCAAGUCCCUGCCUCCUAGCAGCAGGGUGGGGCCUAAGGAGAAAGGUCCUGGUUAUAAACUCCUGUGAAGGGAUGUCACAGGUUCUAAGAACACUGAAAUGCGUGAGCCACUGUUAUUUUUCCUACAUUGUUAAUUCCCUUCUGUUAGCCUCACAUUCAUUAAGUCUUUGUCAAGAACUACAGCCCAAUGUGAGCUGUGUUUUGGAUGAUUCAGGGAGGGACUGUGUCCAUACUGGGGCCAGAUGGUACCUAGGUGGCUGGGGUAAUCCAAACACUGGUCUCAAGGCCAGAUUGUGACUAGUAACAACCAGGAUAUAUGUUUCUGGAAUAUAAACACUUCUAGGACUUCUUACAUUAUUAUACAUUACCAUAAAGACUAGACCUACAGUGAGAGGGUCAGAUUUAUGUUAGAUAGGUAAAAGAAAAGGGUGAUCUGGAGGGCUGGAGAAUUGGAGACAUUCACAUCAUACUUUGGUGACAUAAUUAGAUGCCACAGCUCACCAGUAUUGUAACUAUUUUCCUUGGCUCUUUCUACCAUCGCUAUUGAAAUUAGGCUUUUCAAAUUAGUGGCAGGAAAGGCCAUAUUUGGAGCUUCAAAUACACAGUCCCAGUGGCAGUUCUUGCCUCUGUGUUUUUUUGUUGUUGUUGUUUGCUUGUUUGUUUUGAGACGGAGUCUCACUCUAUCGCCCAGGCUGGAGUGCAGUGGCACUAUUUCGGCUCACUGCAACCUCUGCCUCAGCCUCCCAAGUAGCUGGGAUUACAAGCGCCUGCCAACACGCCCAGCUAAUUUUUGUAUUUUUAAUAGAGAUGGGGUUUCACCAUUUUGGCCAGGCUGGUCCUGAACUCCUGACCUCCUGAUCCACCUGCCUCGGCCUCCCAAAGUGCUGGGAUUACAGGCGUGAGCCACUGCGUCCGGCCUUGCCUCACCGUUAAAAGACUACAAUAUGACGUGAUACAUCAGCUUUUUCGAAGUCCAGUGUACGUCAGACCCUGAGGCCUGCAGUAUCUGGAAUGGUGUUGCUGGAUGUGCAAAACUGCCAGGCUCUGGCUUGUGGUGUUCUCAUCUACCAGAUCAUUCCUGGGAGGCCCAAUUUGGCCAGCUGGCUCACCUCUGCCGGUGGUAUUGCUAGCAUUGCACAUUGGAACUGCAGCUUGGGAAAGUGAUAGAAACCAAACACAUGGUGGGUACAAAGCAAGUUUGUUGUAUUUUAUCCACAUUAGUAUUUUGGAUGUUUCAAUAUUUAAACAUUUCAAAAAGCAAAAUCAAUGAUAAUACUUCUUGAAUGUGUUGUGAACAAUGCAAGCCUUUUAUUAAAAAUUAUGGAAUAUUCGAAAGAAAUGUUUUUCUUACAAGAGAGCAGAGAAUAAUUACUCAGGGUUCCUGUGUCAAAGCCUCUAGGGCCCCUUUACUGUCCAGAAUUCUUAGUAAGUGGAAAACCUUUCCCAAGCACAAUGAAGUCUCAACCCUGAUACGGGCAGGACAGCAAAAGACCUGUCUCCUCUUUCCAGAGCAAACCCCAGUGGUUGCACCUGUCCUCCCAUUACACUUUGGGGAUAAACCCUGGAGGCCAUAGUGUAGGGGACCAGUUUCAUGGGUCUUGUUGCCAAAGCUUACUUUUUUGAUCCUACUGCUAAAUUCUGACCCUUCCUCCAAUUGAUCUGCUUUCCAAAAAGAGCAUACCAACACCUGCACAAACCAUUUGAUGUGGUGCAGUAAGCUGUUUCAUCCAAGUGUUCCAAAGCCAUAGGAUGAGCAAGGGGGAAAAACUUAGACCUGUAUAGGAUCUUCCCCCAGGUAGUUACUCUUUCACAGGGGGUGCAUGGGAGACAGGCUGCUGUUGUGCCAUCCUUUCCAUUACAUAAUGAUAACAACUGUUACUUGGAAUGCUUUAAUGCUUGAUGUUAUUUAUGUUUAAAUAUUUGCUGUAUUCCUGGCUCUGUGCUAAAUGCUAUGCCUGCAUCUUAAAAAAUCCUUAAAAUAACUCAAGGUAGGUACCAUUGUUGCUUCCAUUCUCCAGAUGGGACACUAAGACUUUAAGAAGUUAAAUAGCUCACCUGAAAACACACAGCUAGUAAGUAACACAAUGGAGACUUGAACCCAAGUCUAUUCUACUCUAGACCAUGGACUCCAAGAUUAAUUAAUUAUGCAAAUAAGGAAUGUGGAGAGUUCAGCCUUGAGCAAAGGGAGAUUAGCUUGUUUUGCACCAACUCUUCUGCUGAGGAAAGGACAAAAGCCAGAAUAUACAUACCUAUUCAGGGAUCAGAGGGCUGUUGAGAAAGCAAGGGCUAAUAUUCGAGAGACCUACAUUUGAUACUGUUCGUUUCCCCCUCAAGGGACUUGCUAAUUCAAGGGCAGGGGCUGAGAAACUGAACAGAAUUUGUAGAAGACUAAUGCAGACCAAAAAUUAGAGUUGGGGUCCAAGUAGAAGCAGCCCUGGAAAACACCCCAGACUUUCUCGUGGGACCCCAAAGAGCUACUCUUUGAUUAAAGGUGAAUUGGUUAUGGGCCUGUCCUCACAAGGACUGAAGCCCAGCCUCAGAUCUAGUGGAUAGCCAGAAGCAAAAACAAAGCCCCUCUGAAGGAGGACAUGGUCUAAUUUCUCAAAUUUUCUCUAUUAAUUGUUUUCAAAGUCUGCUUAAGAAAUAGGAAUGCAAAAACACAAGAUUCGACCAACAAUGAGAAAGUGAACAAUAGAAACAGACCUCCAGGAAAUUCACGUAGUUAACAUUAUCUGACCGGUGUCUUACAAUAACUAUGAUUAAAAUGUUCAUGAAUUAAAUGACCAAAUGGAACAACUUCAGGAGAGAACUGGACACUAUGUUUAAAAUUCUAGAAUUGAAAAAUAAUAUAACAAUUUAAGAAAUCAGUAGAUGGCUCUGAUAGACACAACUUAAGAGAUAGGUAAUGAAAUGAAAGAUAAGAAAAUAUCCAGACUGGUGCUGGGGGUAAAUAGGAAGACAACUAUUCGAAGAGUUAAUGGUUAAGGUUGUUCCCAAAUUAAUGAAAGACAUUAAGCCACAUAAAUAAGAAAUGCUGUUGACCUCUAAGCAGGAUAAGUUACAAUGAAAGUUAUACUUAAUUACUUCAUAGUAAAACUACUGGAAAACAAAGACUAAUUUUAAAAGUAGCCAGAGGAAAAAUAUAUAUUACUUUCAAAGGAGCAACAGCAAGCCUUGAGAGGGAAUUUUCAGCAGAAGUAAUGAUAGUGGAAAAUGGAAUGGUGUUUUCAAAGAGCUUCAAGAAAAUAAUAGUCAACCUAGAAGACUAUGAGGCAAAAAUAUCCUUCCAAAGACACGUCCAGACAAAGGAAAAUAGAAUUUGCCACCAAUGAAAAGUACCAAAAGUAUGAAAGGAAAGUACUAAAGGGUGUUGUUGGAGCAGAAGGAAAAUGAUCACUGACCACAGCUGGAGGUGCAGAAAGGCAUUGAAAGGCAAUGGAAAGGGUAAGUAUGUGUAUAAAACUAAAUAAAUAUUGAAUGUGUGAAACAACUUUUUACUUUCUGGGGUCUUAAAUAUAUAAAGAACUAAAAUACAUCACCAAGAGAAGCACGUUAAGUGUGGAGGGAGGUAAAUGUAGGGGUCCCCAACAUUUCUGGCACCAGAGACCAGUUUUGUGGAAGAUAAUUUUUUCCCAGACAGUGGGUGGAGGGGUGGAGGGAUUGGGAGCAUGGUGUUGGGAUGACACUGUCCCACCUUAAAUCAUCAGGCAUUAGAUUCUCAUAAGGAGUGCACAACCUAGAUCCCUCACAUGCACAGUUCACAAUAGGGUUAGCGCUCCUAUGAGAAUCUAAUGCUGCUGUUGGUCUGACAGGAGGUGGAGCUCAGGCGGUAAUGCUUGCUGGCUUGCCACCCAUCUCUUGCUGUGCAGCCCAGUUCCUGACAGGCCACUGACCAGUACUGGUUCACAGCCUGGGGACUGUGGACCCCUGGGUAAAUGGAAUUAAAGUAUUCUGAAGUCCUUGAAUUGUCUUGAAAGUGAAAAUGGUGGAGGCACUGAUUUAUAUUAGAAAUUAAUAAAUCAGGGGUACAUGUUUCAGUUUCUACGGUAUUUUGUAAAAGAAUAAGAGUAUGUAAAACUAACAAGAUAACAGAAGGAGAAUAUGAAAUAAAAUAAUCCAAAGGAAGGCAAAAAGAAAAAAAGGCGCAUAGAACAGAUGGGAACAAAUAGAAAACAAACACCCACAUGCAUCAAUCUCUACAUCAAGCAUAUGUGGACUAAAUAUUCCAAUUCAAAGGCAAUAUUAUUAUCACCCUGGAUAAAGAACAAAUAUAAUUCUCUGAGACUUAAAAACAACAUACCUUAAACAAGGAUACAGAAAGAUGGAAAGUAAAAGGAUGGAAAAAGGACUAUCAUGCAAGUAUUAACCAAAAGGAAGCUGGUGUAUUUAGUACACGAAGUGAACUUUCAGGUAUUACCAGAGUAUGAAGGAUAUUUCAUAAUGAUAAAGGGCUUGCUUUACCAGUACUAUACCGAUGGCUGAGGUAUUUGGGCUGUCUGUGAGGCUCAGAUGGGCUGCCUGUGGCCCUGCCUCACCUUGGAGAUGGCCCAGGAAGCUAACUGAGACUUGGAGUUGGUCGAAGAGGAGCCAGACUCUAAAUAUUUGAAGAUUGUGUGCGUAUGUGUGUGUGUGUUUAGGGGAAAACAUGAGAGGUAGAGUACUAUUCAAAAGGACAAGAAGUGGAACAUUUUCUUUUAUAAAUCAAAUAAAUGGUGGCUCUGAGCCUUCCCCCACCUCCUGCCUUUUUUGGGUCCAGAUUGCUAAGAAAUGUUAUUAAUGAUAGCUCACACUUACGACAUUAUUGCCUUCUAAGUGCUUUGUAGGUAUUAAUUUAUUUAAUCCUCACAACAGCCUUAGGAGACAGGCAUCAUCACUACCAUCGCCAUUUUACAGAUGGAAAAACCAGCAACCAUCAGAGCUGGUAUUCAAAAUAAGCCAAUUCAGAUUCCGAGUCCCGGCUCCUAACCAUGGAGUGGCCUCAGGGUUUUAUAGUUUGUCCGGCUCUUUGGAUGAACAUCACACCUCAUGGAGGAGAGUCCCUUCCAUUUUAACGGCUCCAGGUUGUCAUGGAAAUCCUCUGUAUACAAGAGGGUAAGGAGGAGGAUGAGAAGCAAUACAUGCUUAUUGGGACUUUCUAUCAUCCCAGGACUUAUCCAGGUACAUUAUAACAAUGUUGAAUACAGUAUUAGUCCCAUUUUAACUAUGAGGAAAAUAAGGUUUGGACUGUCAGAGACAGAGCAAGACACAUUGGUAAGGGCAGACAAGGGAUUCAUCUGACUCCAAUGCCUCUUCCUUGGUAAACCAGACUGGCUUGUCACACCGUGAAAUUAGAGUCAACUUGUUAAAUCUUGACAGGUUGCUAAAUUAUUAAUUACACCCCCAGGAGCUGUGACUGGAGCAGCAGGGAUGCUAUGGCUGCACUGUACUAUUUUUAGCACUAGAUGGUGCUGUAACACUGCACAUCUCUUCCGCGGUGGCCCUUGGAGGAAGGUUACUUCAGGGCUUGGAGACCCUGGAGGGAAGGAUGCUACCUUACCAGAGCGUGAAAAAAACAUGGAAGACAGGAUACUCUCGGGCCCUGAGAAAGCUGGAGACUGUAGCCACCAGGUGGCUCCAGGAUGUGCAGUACUGGCGUCUGGGUUUUGCUCACACAACCGUGAACUCCUGGUCCCACCGAGCCCUAGCGAGUGGAUUGGAGCACACACCCACCCACCUCCUCAGAGCUCCUACGAGUAGAGGAGGUACCUAGGCACGUGGGAGCUUGGCGCCUUGUUAGGUGCUCAGGAUACUGGUUGUCCGGAAUCCCAGUGAGGUGCAGUCCCGCCCUUGUGCCACUUUCCCAUGCGCUUCCUGCCCCUCUGGGGGCUGCAGAGGCUGCAGAGUUGUCCAGCUUGAGAAACUGUAUCAAGGUUGCUCCCUGACGGCCUGGCAACUCGCUGAAGAGCUGCCUUCAGUUCAGAACAGUUUUAGGGAGAUUGUCAUAAACUCAAUGAGUUUAAAUGAUUUUACACUGACUCUUCAAAAAUGUCAAGGUCAUGAAAGACAAAGGCCGAGGAACUGCCCCAGACUGGAGGAGGCGGGAGACAUGGCAGCUGUGAAUGCACCGUGGGUCCUGAACCAGAAAAAGGAGCUCAGUGGGACGAUUGGUAACUUUUUGAUGCAAUCUGUCGGUGAGCUAAUAGUAUUGCUUCGAUGUUAAUUUCUUGGUUUUGAUCACUGUACUAUAACUAUGCAGAGUGUUAACAUUUGGGGAAGCUGGGUAAAGGGUAUGUGGGAAUUCUUUGUGCUAUUUUUGCAACUUUUCUCAUCAAGUUGGAAAUUAUUUCAAAAUUGAAAGCUAAUAAAAAUUACAAAAAUGUUCUUAACAUUAUUAUGGAAUAUUUCAAACAUAUAGAAAAAUAUAGAGAAUAAGCCUGGCCACUUUUACAGGUGGCUCAAAGGUACUGUUGGCACCAGACAGAGGAAUGAAGUUCCUGUAGGAGUUAAGCAUUGAGCUCUGCUGUCUCGCUUUCUGUGUCCAGAGGUGGCUCCUGGUAGUUGAAUUAGACCAUUACAUUUUGGGCAAGAGCUAUUUAAAUUUUUGGCAGCCUCUACUUUAGAAUAAAUCAGCAGACAAUCCACCUCUAUGGCCAUAGUAUUUGCUUAGUAAGAUAACACCUUAUUCCAACGCCCUACUUAGCAAUUCUCUUGGGAGACUUUUUUUUUUUCCAGACCUUGUCUUUUAUUACAGGGAUCUAAUCAUUACUGUCUAAAACAAAAACAUAUAGAUAAAGAUGGCCCCAAUUGCUUAAUGCUGCUUUUGAUAUUUUUCUUUAACUUCUUUAACUUUCAAAAAUGAACUUUUAAUUUUAGAACAGUUUUAGAGUUUCAGAAAAAUUGCAAAGAUGAUACAGAGUUACCAUAUUCUCUGCAGCCAGUUCCCCCUAUAUUAUCAGCUUACCUUAGUAGGGGAUAUUUGUUGCAAUUAAUGGACCAUUAUUGAUACAUCAUGAUUAACUGAAGUCCAUACUUUAUUUGGAUUUCCUUAGUCUAUCUAAUGUCUCUUUUCUGUUCCAGAAUCCCCUCCAGGAUUCCAAGAUAUCACAUUAAAUUUAGAUGUCAUGUCUAUUUAUGCUACUCUAGGGUGUGACAAUUUCUCAGAUUUCUUUGUUUUUGAUGUCCUUGAUAUUUUUGAGGAGUAUGGGUGGAGUAUUUUUAUAGGAUGUCUCUUGAUUUGGGAUUUGUCUGAUAUUUUUCUCAUGAUUAAACUGGGGCUAUGUGUUUUUAGGAGGAAGACAACAGGGGUAAUGUGCCAUUUUCGUCAUAUCAUAUCAAGAAUACAUAGUAUCUCUGGGCAUGGUGGCAGUCCAUAAAAAUUAGCUGGGUGUGGUGGCAGGCUGCUCAGGAGGCUGAGGCAGGGGAAUUGCUUGAACCCAGGAGGCAGAGGCUGCAGUAGGCCAAGACUGUGCCACUGCACUCCAGCCUGGGUGACACAGCGAGACUCCAUCUCAAAAAAGAAACACAUGAUAUUGACCUUCACCACCUGGCCACCUGGUAGUAUUUGUCAGGUUUCCCCACUGUAAAGUAAUUCCCACCUGCCUUCCACACUGAGCUCUUUGGAAGGAAGUCACUGUGUGCAGCCAAGAAGGAGCAGGGAGUUAUGCCUCACUGCUUUGAGGAUGGAGUAUCUACGUAAAUUAUUUGGAAUUCUUCUCUAUGGAGGGAUUUAUCUCUUGCCUCCCAAUUAUUUAUUUAUUCAAUCCAUUUAUUUGUGUUAGUAUAGACUCAUGGAUAUUUAUUUUAUACAUUGGGUUUUAAUCCAAUAUGACUUUAUUUUAUUGCUAAAAUUGUUUCAGCUUUGGCCAUUGGGAGCUCUUUCAGGUGGCUCCUAUGUUCCUAUUUAAUUGCUGUAUAAUAAUUGUACAUAUUAAUGUGGUACAUGUGUCAUUUUGAUCCGAGCAUAUAAUGUGUACUCAAAUCAGGGUAAUUGGGAUAUCCAUCACCUCAAAUUUAUCAUUUCUGUGUGUUGGGAACAUUCCAAAUCUUCCUUUCUUGCUAUUUUGAAAUACACAGUAAGUUCUUGUUAACUAUAGUCAUUGUACUGUGCUAUCAAACACGAGAACUUAUUUCUUUUAUCUAACUGUAUUUUUGUACCCAUUAACCAACUUCUCUUCCUGCCUCCCCCUCACCCUUUCCUGGCCUCUGGUAACCACCAAUCUACUAUCUUCUUGAGAUCCACUUUUUAGCUCUCCCAUGAGAGUGAGAACAUGUGAUAUUUGUGUUUCUGUGCCUGAUUUAUUUCAUUUAACAUAAUGUCUUCCUGUUUCAUUCAUGUUGCUGCAAGUGACAAGAUUUCAUUCCUUUUCAUGGCUGAAUAGUACUUUAUUGUGUCUAUAUGCCACAUUUUUUAAUCCAUUCAUCUGUUGAUGGAUACUUAGGUUGAUUCUACAUUUUUGCUAUUGUGAAUAGUGCUGCAGUAAAUAUGGGAGUGCAGAUAUCUCUGGUAUACUGGUUUCCUUUCUUUUGGAUAGAUACCCAGUAGCAGGAUUCCUGGAUCAUAUGGUGGCUCUAUUUUUAGCUUUCUGAGGAACCUCCACACUGUUUUCCAUAGUGGUUAUACUAAUUUAUAUUUUCACCUAUGUGUACAAGCUUGCCCUUUCUUCAUGGCCUCAAGCAUGUUAUUUUCUGUCUUUUUGAUCAUAGCCAUUUUAACUGGAGUGAGAUGAUAUCUCAUUGUGGUUUUGAUCUGCAUUUCCAUGCUAAUUAGUGAUGUUGUGUUCCUUUGAUAUAUCCCCAUCAUUGAGACUUUUCUUUUGAGCACUUGCUUAUUUCCUGGCAUAAUAAGAUGUUCCAGGCUCAUCUUGUAUAUUUUCUGCUCCAGUGCUAGAAUCAGCCAUUUCUCCAAUGAGCUUUUGGGAGAUAUUUGCUUUCUUGAUUACAGUUAGGAUUUUCUCAUAAGGGAAGUUUGUUGAUGGCCUGCAAACAAAUAGUAAAAUAGUAUGUGAUGUCAUGAAAAUUAAUUGUAUUUUUCCUUCUAGAUUUUGCAUAUAGAAGACGGUAAUUUUAAAAACAGUGAAAGAAGAAAUGUAUCUGAGAAUUCAAUCAGUCAAUAGACUUUAGACAUCUGAAAAGAAAACACAAGAGGUUCGGUUGGUGCAAUGUUCCUUUCUUCCCAGGACUUUCUGGUCUUCAAGGCUUUCUCAUGAGACAGAAGACUGAUGGAUGUAGAAGUUUCUAAGAGGACAGUUACGCUGCCAUGUUUUGAAGCAGGAAGACGUUACCACUUCUCAAAGGUCUUUAAUUGCCUGACCACUGCUUCUCUUUGGAAGGCUGUCAGGGUGAUGGAAUCUCAGAUCACAGCACAGAUAAAAUGGACAAAGAAAGAAAGAUACAAGAAGGAUGUAAAAAUGUCCAUAAUGAACUCAUGUAUCUUGCGGAAACCUCUAAUCUAAUGAGAAUGGAUUUUGUUGAGAAGAUUGUACACCAACAAUUAAUUAUUCAUGGCAGAGA